rnacentral:rRNA from 1 species
CAAGAGCGUAUGUAAAAGUUGUUGCAGUUAAAAAGCUCGUAGUUGAACCUUGGGUUUGGUUGGCCGGUCCGCUUUUUUGCGAGUACUGGAUUCAACCGAGCCUUUCCUUCUGGCUAACCAGUCGUUUCGGCGGCUGGCGAACCAGGAUUUUUACUUUGAGAAAAUUAGAGUGUUCAAAGCAGGCAUUAGCUUGAAUAUAUUAGCAUGGAAUAAUAGAAUAGGACGUUAUGGUUCUAUUUUGUUGGCUUCUAGGACCAUCGUAAUGAUUAAUAGGGACGGUCGGGGGCAUCAGUAUUCAGUUGUCAGAGGUGAAAUUCUUGGAUUUACUGAAGACUAACUACUGCGAAAGCAUUUGCCAAGGACGUUUUCAUUAA